rnacentral:rRNA from 1 species
GACGAACGCUGGCGGCGUGCCUAAUACAUGCAAGUCGAGCGCAGGAAACUGACGGAACUCUUCGGAGGGAAGGCAGUGGAAUGAGCGGCGGACGGGUGAGUAACACGUAAGGAACCUGCCUCAAGGAUUGGGAUAACUCCGAGAAAUCGGAGCUAAUACCGGAUAGUUCAACGGACCGCAUGGUCCGCUGAUGAAAGGCGCUCCGGCGCCACCUUGAGAUGGCCUUGCGGUGCAUUAGCUAGUUGGUGGGGUAACGGCCCACCAAGGCGACGAUGCAUAGCCGACCUGAGAGGGUGAUCGGCCACACUGGGACUGAGACACGGCCCAGACUCCUACGGGAGGCAGCAGUAGGGAAUCUUCCACAAUGGACGAAAGUCUGAUGGAGCAACGCCGCGUGAGUGAUGAAGGUUUUCGGAUCGUAAAACUCUGUUGUAAGGGAAGAACACGUACGAGAGGUAAUGCUCGUACCUUGACGGUACCUUACGAGAAAGCCACGGCUAACUACGUGCCAGCAGCCGCCGUAAGAC